rnacentral:snRNA from 13 species
AGCUUUGCGCAGUGGCAGUAUCGUAGCCAAUGAGGUUUAUCCGAGGCGCGAUUAUUGCUAAUUGGAGGGGGACCCCAACCAGCCAUGGUCCCAUGUGAGGCCAACUUGAGUAUGUUCCAAAUUUUCUAAGUCUCCAGCUUGAACAUGCUAAGGACACCAUGGGA